rnacentral:lncRNA from 1 species
UCCAUCAUGAUGGUGAUCAUGCUCCAGCUCCUUCUUCAAGUCGUCCACCCCGUCGUGCUCGUUCGUCCCAAGAGCCUACUCUCCAAACCAUAUCCGACUAGCUUGCUCAACUCACUCAUGAGAUCCAUGGAUACUUUGAUCAUGUCAAUUAUCCAUAUGCAGCUCUCGUUCCUUUUAAAGCAGCGCCGGAUAACGAGGCGGACAACGACGGAAAUAAAUAAAUUUUUUGUGUUUUGUGUGGUUUUUGCUGUUGUUCUCUUUAGUUCCCAUUGAUUUACCCUUUUUUCCCAAUAAAUAAACCUUGUUUAUUUCAUCUUUUUGCAUCUUUCCUUACUAUUUUUUUUGCUAAUGGCAAAAGGGGGAAGAAAACGUAAUAUCGGGUAUGCACCACCUCUUAAUUCAUU